rnacentral:tRNA from 1 species
GCGCCCUUGGGUCGGUUAGCCGAGUAGCGGAUUUCUUCUCCGCGGGUUGCAGGUUCGAAUCCUGCCGGGAUCGCCA